rnacentral:rRNA from 1 species
UACGUAGGCAGCAAGCGUUGUUCGGAGUUACUGGGCGUAAAGGGUGCGUAGGCGGCUUUUUUAAGUUUUGGUGUGAAAUCUCCCGGCUCAACUGGGAGGGUGCGCCGAAUACUGAGAGGCUAGAGUGUGGGAGAGGAAAGUGGAAUUCCUGGUGUAGCGGUGAAAUGCGUAGAUAUCAGGAGGAACACCGGUGGUGUAAACGGCUUUCUGGACCAUAACUGACGCUGAGGCACGAAAAGCGUGGGUAGCAAACAGG